rnacentral:rRNA from 1 species
UACAGAGGUCCCGAGCGUUAAUCGGAAUUACUGGGCGUAAAGCGCACGUAGGCGGCUUGGUAUGUCGGGUGUGAAAUCCCCGGGCUCAACCUGGGAAUGGCGGUGGAUACUGAGGAGCUAGAGUGCGGUAGAGGAGGGUGGAAUUCCCGGUGUAGCGGUGAAAUGCGUAGAGAUCGGGAGGAACAUCAGUGGCGAAGGCGGCCCUCUGGACCAGCACUGACGCUGAGGCACGAAAGCGUGGGGAGCAAACAGG